CUUAUACAUAGUAGUAUCCUGAGUACCGCGAGGUCGGAGACGCCUUGUGGGAAUCUGCCAGCACCAUCUGGUAAGGCUAAAUACUCCUCAAACACCGAUAGCGCACUAGUACUGUGAAGGAAAGGUGAAAAGAACCCCGAACAGGGGAGUGAAAUAGAACCUGAAACCGUAUGCUUACAAGCGGUCAGAGCCCUUUUGUGGGGUGAUGACGUGCCUUUUGCAUAAUGAUCCUACGAGUUACUUGUCACUGGCAAGGUUAAGGCUUGAAGAGCCGAAGCCGCAGCGAAAGCGAGUCUGAAUAGGGCGACAGUCAGUGGCAGUAGACGCGAAACCUUGUGAUCUACCCAUGAGCAGGAUGAAGUGACGGUAACACGUCAUGAGGUCGAACUGAUAAGCGUUGAAAAGCUUCCGGAUGACUUGUGGGUAGGGGUGAAAGGCUAAUCAAACUGGGAGAUAGCUCGUACUCCCCGAAAUGC
rnacentral:rRNA from 1 species